rnacentral:rRNA from 1 species
GAUGAACGCUGGCGGCGUGCCUAAUACAUGCAAGUCGAGCGAACAGACGAGGAGCUUGCUCCUCUGACGUUAGCGGCGGACGGGUGAGUAACACGUGGAUAACCUACCUAUAAGACUGGGAUAACUUCGGGAAACCGGAGCUAAUACCGGAUAAUAUAUUGAACCGCAUGGUUCAAUAGUGAAAGACGGUUUUGCUGUCACUUAUAGAUGGAUCCGCGCCGCAUUAGCUAGUUGGUAAGGUAACGGCUUACCAAGGCAACGAUGCGUAGCCGACGUGAGAGGGUGAUCGGCCACACUGGAACUGAGACACGGUCCAGACUCCUACGGGAGGCCGCAGUAGGGAAUCUUCCGCAAAGGGCGAAAGCCUGACGGAGCAACGCCGCGUGAGUGAUGAAGGUCUUCGGAUCGUAAAACUCUGUUAUUAGGGAAGAACAAAUGUGUAAGUAACUAUGCACGUCUUGACGGUACCUAAUCAGAAAGCCACGGCUAACUACGUG